AUUGAACGCUGGCGGCAGGCCUAACACAUGCAAGUCGAACGAGUGGCGGACGGGAGAGUAAUGUCUGGGAAACUGCCCGUUGGGGGGGGAUAACUACUGGAAACGGUAGCUAAUACCGAAUACCAUCGGAUGUGCCCGGAUGGGUGUAGUUGGUGGGUGGGGUAAAGGGUCACCUAGGCGACGAUCGCUAGCCGGUCUGGUAGGAUGAUCAGCCACACUGGGAUGUGGACACGGCCCAUACUCCUCCGGAGGGCGGCAGUGGGGAAUAUUGCAAAAUGGGCGCAGGCCGGAUGCAGCCCUGCCGCGUGGAUGAAGAAGUCCUUAGGUUUGUAAAGUACUUUCAGCGGGGAGGCGUUACCCGCAGAAGAAGCGCCGGCUAACUCCGUGCCAGCCGCCGCGGUAAUAC
rnacentral:rRNA from 1 species